UACGGAGGGUGCAAGCGUUAACCGGAAUUACUGGGCGUAAAGCGUGCGCAGGCGGCCCUGCAAGUCUGCUGUGAAAGCGCGGGGCUUAACCUCGGAACAGCAUUUGUAACUGCAGGGCUAGAGUGCGGUCGAGGGGGAAGGAAUUCCUCGUGUAGCGGUGAAAUGCGUAGAGAUGCGGAGGAACACCGUUGGCGAAGGCAGCCGCCUGGACCUGUACUGACGCUGAGGGACGAAAGCGCGGGGAGCAAACAGG
rnacentral:rRNA from 1 species